rnacentral:RNase_P_RNA from 1 species
GUCGCUGGCAUCCUUGGUGGUGCGAGAGGAAAGUCCGGGCAGCACAGGACACUCCACUUGUGAAAAUGCAAGCUGUGGGCGACCGCAGGUGCAGGCAGAAGAAAAUAACCGCCAUGCGAUACUUCCCUCGGGGAGUGCGUGGUAAGGGUGAGAAGGCGGUGUAAGAGACCACCAGCCGGCGGGCGAUCGUCGGGCUGUGCCUACUGGGGGCUGCAAGUUCGCGUAUACCAUCGACUGAGGGUUGUCCGCCCGACGAGCCUUCGUGGCUCACGAUGGAGGGUAGAACGCUUGAGCCGCAGGGCAACUUGCGGACUAGAUAAAUGACAGGCACCUGCCUGACCGAGAGGUCUUGCAGGGACAGAACCCGGCUUACAGGGGCAC